UUGUACACACCGCCCGUCGCUACUACCGAUUGAAUGGCUCAGUGAGGCUUUCGGACUGACCUAAGGGAGGAGGCAACUCUUCCCCCUGGUCGGAAAGUUAUCCAAACUCGGUCAUUUAGAGGAAGUAAAAGUCGUAACAAGGUCUCCGUUGGUGAACCAGCGGAGGGAUCAUUACUGAGUUUACGCUCUACAACCCUUUGUGAACAUACCUACAACUGUUGCUUCGGCGGGUAGGGUCCCCGUGACCCUCCCGGCCUCCCGCCCCCCCCCGGGCGGGUCGGCGCCCGCCGGAGGAUAACCAAACUCUGAUUUAACGACGUUUCUUCUGAGUGGUACAAGCAAAUAAUCAAAACUUUUAACAACGGAUCUCUUGGUUCUGGCAUCGAUGAAGAACGCAGCGAAAUGCGAUAAGUAAUGUGAAUUGCAGAAUUCAGUGAAUCAUCGAAUCUUUGAACGCACAUUGCGCCCGCCAGCAUUCUGGCGGGCAUGCCUGUUCGAGCGUCAUUUCAACCCUCAAGCUCUGCUUGGUGUUGGGGCCCUACAGCUGAUGUAGGCCCUCAAAGGUAGUGGCGGACCCUCCCGGAGCCUCCUUUGCGUAGUAACUUUACGUCUCGCACUGGGAUCCGGAGGGACUCUUGCCGUAAAACCCCCCAAUUUUCCAA
rnacentral:rRNA from 1 species